CAACAAUGACCUUCUUAUUCUCAACUAUGCUUCUAAACGCUACCCCAAAAUGUGAAGGCCCUGCCUCGACUAUGCUUCUAAAGGCUAAAUCAAUCAAACAUGAAGAAGAAAAUACCCUUUUCAUUUGAGAGGAUUUCAAAAAGCCCAUGUUUAGCCCAAAUUUUAGAAGCAAUAGUUUUCAGAGCCAUACACGGGAGUUUCUUAUCCAGAAAUCCAACCGCACAAUUCUCCAAGUACAACACCAUAAUCUUCC
rnacentral:lncRNA from 1 species